GAAUUGCGAUAAGUAAUGUGAAUUGCAGAAUUGUGAAUCAUCGAAUCUUUGAACGCACAUUGCGCCUUUUGGUAUUCCAAAGGGCACACCUGUUUGAGCGUCAUUACACUCUUAAAUCUUUGGAUUUAGUAUUGAGUUUUAUUUCUUAAUUUCUUUUUAAGAAUAACUUGAAAUUUAGUUGGCAGAAGCGAACCAGUUUAAAGGCUGAACAACGUAAUAGGUUUUACCAACUCGUUUUAAAGUCUUUUGGUUUAAAGCUUCGGCAAUAUAAACUAAAGAAAUCACAUAGAUUUCUUUUUAAAGUUUGACCUCAAAUCAGGCGAGAUUACCCGCUGAACUUAA
rnacentral:misc_RNA from 1 species